rnacentral:rRNA from 1 species
GUCUACAGCCAUGCUACCCUGAACAAGCCCAAUCCCAUCUGAUCUUGGAAGCUAAGCAGGGUCGGGCCUGGUUAGUACUUGGAUGGGAGAUCACCUAGGAAAACCAGGUGCUAUAGGCG